CUCAGGUUCCCAGGCUCGGGCUGGAGGCGCGCCCCCUCCCCGCUCUCCAGGUCCGAGUCUCCCCUCGCCCACCCCCACCCCGGGGGUCCCGGACACAGCUCGAAGGGGCGCUGUUCCUGGGCCAGGGGGCCGGGCCCGAGAGGGUGGGGGGCCGCCCAUUAAGAUUCAGAGGGAAGAUGGAGAGAAACAAAGGCGCCCCAGUGCUGCCCACUUAGCAUGCCGGCGCCGCGCCGCUCGGCUCCCAGGGCCGAGACUCCUAAGGCCCCCGGCACCUCCAAGGCCACGGGCACGGAAGGACAGCUGCCGAGGGCACCCAGCGAACACCAGACCCGGGAAACUGUGCAGGAUUCGGCCCUUGGAAAGGCUGUCAGCUCGACUUCCCUUUCUGCACAGUGACUGUCUUUGGUUAUCACCCGAAGUUGUUGCAGGAGCUUUUACACAACCACCUGAGAAUUUAAGAGUCUCUGAGAGCUUUUGUUUGCCUAUCCUGGUGAAGUUAGCCAUAGAGAGCUGGGAGGGACUGUUUCUUCGCCAGACAGCACGGUUGCUCAUAGGAAGGAGAUGGCACCCACUGAGAAGGCUCCAGUGACGAAUGAACCCCUCCCAGGUACCUUCUGCCUCACUCCAGACUCUGACAUGAAUCCUCUGCCAGGCUGACAGCAGAAACACCUAUCAGUCCAGCAUCUCCUAGGAAGAAGCCUGUAAUAGAAACAGCAGUGUUCUGCAUGGAAGCACUUCACACAUGAUUCUGGGAGAUUCACAUGCUUGUUGCCCUGACCCUUGUUGCUUGGAGUCACGUGGUCAUAGUGGCUGAAUUCCCUCUGUCUCUUCCACACCAAGUCUAAGCCGGUGGUUCUCAAUCAGAGGCUAUUUUGUUCAUCCCUCCCCCCAUCUUGGAUGAUAUCCAGCAGUAUCUUGACCACAAUUUUGUUGUGGCAUCUGAGAAGGUAUUACUGGCAUCUGGUUCGUAGAAGACAGGGAUGCUGCAAACAUCCUACAAAGCACAGAACAGCUGCUCACGACAAAGAAGUACCUGGCUCCAAGCAUCAAUAAUAAUGCAGAAGUGAAGGCACUUUUAUCUGGGCUUCCCUGGUAGGUUAGUGGUUAAGAAUCCACCUGCUGAUGCAGGGGACUUGGGUUCAAUACCUAGUCCUGGAAGAUCCCACAUACGGCAGAGCAACUAAGCCCAAGAGCCACAACUACUGAGCCCAUGCACUGCAACUACUGAAGCCUGAACACCCUGAAGCCUGUGCUCUGCAACAAGAGAAGCUACUGCACUGAGAAGCCUGUGCACCACCAACUAGAGGGUAGCCCUCACUCUCUACAACUAUAGAAAGCCUGCACAAAGCAACGGAGACCCAGUGCAGCCAA
ensembl:lncRNA